AACGAACGCUGGCGGCAGGCUUAACACAUGCAAGUCGAACGCCCCGCAAGGGGAGUGGCAGACGGGUGAGUAACGCGUGGGAACAUACCCUUUCCUGCGGAAUAGCUCCGGGAAACUGGAAUUAAUACCGCAUACGCCCUACGGGGGAAAGAUUUAUCGGGGAAGGAUUGGCCCGCGUUGGAUUAGCUAGUUGGUGGGGUAAAGGCCUACCAAGGCGACGAUCAUAGCUGGUCUGAGAGGAUGAUCAGCCACAUUGGGACUGAGACACGGCCCAAACUCCUACGGGAGGCAGCAGUGGGGAAUAUUGGACAAUGGGCGCAAGCCUGAUCCAGCCAUGCCGCGUGAGUGAUGAAGGCCUUAGGGUUGUAAAGCUCUUUCACCGAUGAAGAUAAUGACGGUAGUCGGAGAAGAAGCCCCGGCUAACUUCGUGCCAGCAGCCGCCGUAAAAC
rnacentral:rRNA from 1 species